CACCAGAGCCUCAAGUGGUGGCCACUUUUAUUGGGUCUAAAGCAUCCGUAGCCGGAUUUGUAAGUUCUUCGUGAAAUCGUGCAGCUUAACUGUACGGCGGGCGAAAAUACUGCUUAUCUAGGGACUGGGAGGGGCAAAGAGUAUGCCAAGGGUAGGGGUGAAAUCCUGUGAUCCUUGGUAGACUACCUGUGGCGCAGGCGCUUUGCUAGAACAGGUCCGACGGUGAGGGAUGAAAGCUAGGGUAGCAAAC
rnacentral:rRNA from 1 species